GAUUGGUGGUCGGUGGGAUAACUCAACAGUCGACACCAAUAGUCUGCACUCUGAGGAAGACAGUAGUGCGAAGCAAGGUUUUGACUUGGAACGGUGAUGGCUGAAGAAUUGAUAAUGACUGCUCGAGGUAGUUUAGUGGCGAGUGGUUCUCUUGCUUCGGACAAUGACAUGGUUCUGGAUCAGUCAUCCUCUCAGGCUGUUAUGCAGCCUCCCUCUUCGACCAAUAUUCCACAGAAAGCAGGUACUUCAGUGCCACCUCAAUCGCAGAUGCCCAUCGCAACAGUUGCCUCUCUGAUUGAGACUGGCCCUGUACUAACAGUCCAAAAUUUAGUGUGUACGGUGAACUUGGACUGUCCCACUGGACUUAAAAAUGAUAAACUUCCGUACUCGCAAUUCCGAGUACAACCCAUCAAGAUUCUGCGGAGUAGUCAUGAGACUGAGGGACCCGAGAGCAACAGCUCUGAUAUUCAGCUCUGGCAAGAUUGUCGUUACAGGUACCAAACAUGAGGCAAGCGCUCAUCUUGCAACAAGGAAGUUUGCUAGGAUCAUCCAGAAACUGGGAUUUAAGGUUAAAUUCCUUGAUUUUAAGAUUCACAACAUGGUCAGCACAUGUGAUUUACGCUUUCCAAUCCGGCUGGAGAAUCUCAACCAGAUGCAUGGCCAGUUCAGCAG
rnacentral:misc_RNA from 1 species